rnacentral:rRNA from 1 species
UUGGAGGGCAAGUCUGGUGCCAGCAGCCGCGGUAAUUCCAGCUCCAAUAGCGUAUAUUAAUGUUGUUGCAGUUAAAAAGCUCGUAGUUGAAUUUCGGGAUUAGUACGUUGGUCGUGCCUUCGGUACGUACUGGUGUUACUGAUUCCUACCUUCUGACGAACCAUCAUGUCAUUAAUUUGGUGUGGCGGGGAAUCAGGACUGUUACUUUGAAAAAAUUAGAGUGUUUAAAGCAGGCUCGCGCUUGAAUACAUUAGCAUGGAAUAAUGAAAUAGGACGUUGAUCCUAUUUUGUUGGUUUCUAGGGUUGACGUAAUGAUUAAUAGGGAUAGUUGGGGGCAUUAGUAUUCAAUUGUCAGAGGUGAAAUUCUUGGAUUUAUUGAAGACUAACUACUGCGAAAGCAUUUGCCAAGGAUGUUUUCAUUAAUCAAGAACGAAAGUUAGGGGAUCGAAGACGAUCAGAUACCGUCGUAGUCUUAACCAUAAACUAUGCCGACUAGGGAUCGGAUGAUGUUAUUUUUAAUACUCAUUCGGCGCCUUACGGGAAAC